AGCUCACAUCAAAGACCUGUCUGCUCGUCUUGCAAGGAAAGCUGCAAACCCGGGAAAAUGGUGGAAGGACGUGGUCAAGGUCAUGGGGAUCACUGCAGGUUUUCUGGCCGCCUUGGUUUUACUGAUCCUCAUCCCAUAAAGCAGCACACCAACAGCUGCGGGUGGAGGAGGUUCAUCGUCAGAGGAACCAGGACCAGAGAUCAAGAACCACACCAACCCUGACCCUGUUCCUGUGGGUUUUCUCCGGGGGCUCCGGUUCACCCACACAAUGAAAUUUAACAGAUAUUAUAAAAAAUCCCAAAGCAAAUGUAAACAGACAUGGACUAAAGUAACUACAAAAGCGCAAACCGAAAAGGCGGUAACAACAAGGAGAACAAGAAGCGGCAACCAAGUUUAAAAGUGAACAAUAUGAAGAAAACAGCUUCAGCUGAAAGGUAUGUUAUCGCAUACAGUUUGGAGAAUAUGUUUUGUCAAGCCUGAUGCACAUUAUUAUUAUUAUUAUUGUAAUUAUUGUCAUUUGCUACUGUUUGAGUUAGCUUAACACGUUUCUUCCGUUGUGUAUUCUGUACCCAGGUUUAUGACGUCAUUACAAAGUCACGAGUCAGCGGAGACCAGAGGCCCGUUUCAUGAAGCAGGUUAUGUGGAAACCCUGCACAUGUUGAGCCUGAAAUCAGCGACACCCUGAGUUAACCCUUUCAAUAAGGGAGAUCAUUGGUGAUGCAGCUCACAUCAUCACACAUGUGGAAGCCAAGUGGCCUGGGUCUGAGCAGGACUCCUGCAUAUAUCGAGGGUCUACUCUGAGCCGCAGACUGGACUGUGGAGACAUUGAAGGCUUCCUUCUGGGUGACAGGAGUUACCC